rnacentral:rRNA from 1 species
AACGCUGGCGGCGUGCCUAAUACAUGCAAGUCGAGCGAAGUUUUUCUGGUGCUUGCACCGGAAAAACUUAGCGGCGAACGGGUGAGUAACACGUAAAGAACCUGCCUCAUAGACUGGGACAACUAUUGGAAACGAUGGCUAAUACCGGAUAACAGCAUUAACUGCAUGGUUGAUGUUUAAAAGUUGGUUUUGCUAACACUAUGAGAUGGCUUUGCGGUGCAUUAGCUAGUUGGUGGGGUAAAGGCCUACCAAGGCGACGAUGCAUAGCCGACCUGAGAGGGUGAUCGGCCACACUGGGACUGAGACACGGCCCAGACUCCUACGGGAGGCAGCAGUAGGGAAUCUUCCGCAAUGGGCGAAAGCCUGACGGAGCAACGCCGCGUGAGUGAAGAAGGAUUUCGGUUCGUAAAGCUCUGUUGUUAGGGAAGAAUGAUUGUGUAGUAACUAUACACAGUAGAGACGGUACCUAACCAGAAAGCCACGGCUAACUACGUGCCAGCAGCCGCGGUAAUACGUAGGUGGCAAGCGUUGUCCGGAAUUAUUGGGCGUAAAGCGCGCGCAGGUGGUUUAAUAAGUCUGAUGUGAAAGCCCACGGCUCAACCGUGGAGGGUCAUUGGAAACUGUUAAACUUGAGCGCAGGAGAGAAAAGUGGAAUUCCUAGUGUAGCGGUGAAAUGCGUAGAGAUUAGGAGGAACACCAGUGGCGAAGGCGGCUUUUUGGCCUGUAACUGACACUGAGGCGCGAAAGCGUGGGGAGCAAACAGGAUUAGAUAUCCUGGUAGUCCACGCCGUAAACGAUGAGUGCUAAGUGUUGGUCUCAUAAGAGAUCAGUGCUGCAGCUAACGCAUUAAGCACU